GAUCUUAGUUCUAUGCCUGUUGAAACUGAGAUGGAAGACACUCCUACAGAAGUUGAAACAGAAACUGCUAAUAAAUCACCAACAAUUGCUGAGAUGGUGGCUGAAAAAUCAACCCCUGUUGUUACUGAAGAGGUUGUCAUGCAAGAUGUUGAGACAUCCUUGAAUGAGAAUGAAGAUGCUGAAACUGCUGAGGAAGAACCUGUGAAGGAAACUGUUGCUGAAAAAGAUGUUG
rnacentral:lncRNA from 1 species